CCACUCGAUGACGAGGAGAUGGUCGAGUACAUCAUCACCGGCUUGGACCAAGAGUUCACGCCGCUUGUUUCUGCUCUGGUUGCAAGAGUAGAACCGAUCACCUUGGGAGAAUUAUACUCCCAGAUGCUCAACUUCGAGA